rnacentral:sRNA from 1 species
CCUGAAAUGAAGACCAGUGGUGAACGUUACAACGA